AGAAGAGAGCGAACUCAAACAAAAAGAGAAGCCUCGGGCUUUAGACGCUUCGUGGGCCUCCCACUGUUUAAAGAGAGGCCCAGCCCCUAGGGCGGCCCCGCGCUUUCCCGUCACCCGCUCGCACGCACCCCGGCUCGGCUCUCCCAUCGCCUUGCUCGGCCCUCCGCGCCUCCCGCUAGACCGCGAGGGUCGACAGGAGUUUUAGAGGUUGCAGGUGCGCCACCGCCUCGAGUCUAGGAGAGGAAACCCCUGCGGCUGUGCGUGCGGCCCGGAACCACCGUACACCACCCGGGCGGGAACGCGGGAAGGAAGGGGAGGGGCGUGAUCGUGGCCCCAGGGGUUUGGGCACAGGUCCCAGGACGGCCGCGUAAGUAGGACCGGCCAGAGGGGAGGGAAAGGCUGGGACCGGGCGCAGGGCGGCCUUCGCCUCUAGGGGCACAGCCGAAGCUGAGGGGAGCGGCAGCCCCGAGGCCCGGGACGGCGGUUGGAGGAGGCUCGUGGGCCCGGUCGCGUGUGAUCCGAUGCGGAGCAGGAGUCGUCUGCUUUGCCCAAGCCUGAAAAGGGAGUCUCUGGUUCUGCAAAUCACUCCUGGGGACUGGAACUUCUCCGUGAAGCCCAGGCACUCACCCUUGUGCCGUGUGCUGGGGCUGGACUCCUCCCGAAAAGCCCAGCAGAGCCGAGAACUCCCUCAAGGGCAGCAGCACCUCAGGAGUAGGGAACUGGCCCCCUGGACGUAAUGGAGGGCAAGCAAUUUCCUCAUGAUGUCCAAAAGCAUAGCCUGGACUUGAGAACGAUACUCCUUAAUGUUUUUCUUUCCCAUUCUCGCUGCCUGGAGAAAUAUUACUCUCCUUGGAGCAGGUUGGGGAUGCUUGAGAGCCACCAGAUUUCUGACGGAAUCUUUUGAGACAUUUAAGGUGUCUCUGUAGCUAAUUGAGAACAGUAACAUUAACUGGAAGAUCAGAAUUUUUUUUGUGAUCUGAGUCGUUUUUUCUCAACCAUUUUGUCGUUGUUGAACUUAACCUAGAUCAUCCCAGUGCCUCUUCACUGCACCACUCAGGCAAGGUUUAGCUGCUCUUAUUAAAAAGUGUAUGAUGGGAAGGAAAUAUUAACUGCCCUUUCAAGAACAGAAGUCAAUUUUUAAUUGGGAAUGCUCGCAAGCUAGACUGAAGAGUAAAAGAAAAUACUUCAAAUAAAUAAAUGCAUUUUGCUUGAAUUCA
rnacentral:lncRNA from 1 species